GAUCCUGGCUCAGGAUGAACGCUGGCGGCGUGCUUAACACAUGCAAGUCGAACGGACUUUACAUGAAGCCUAGCGAUUGUAAAGUUAGUGGCGGACGGGUGAGUAACGCGUGAAUAACCUGCCCUGUACCGGGGGACAACAGUUGGAAACGGCUGCUAAUACCGCAUAAGCGCACGGUUCCGCAUGGAACAGUGUGAAAAACUCCGGUGGUACAGGAUGGAUUCGCGUCUGAUUAGCCAGUUGGUGGGG
rnacentral:rRNA from 1 species